rnacentral:rRNA from 1 species
CUACGGGCUGCUGCAGUGAGGAAUAUUGCACAAUGGGGGGAACCCUGAUGCAGCAACGCCGCGUGGAGGAUGACGCACUUCGGUGUGUAAACUCCUUUUAUAUGUCAAGAAAAUGACGGUAGCAUAUGAAUAAGCACCGGCUAACUCCGUGCCAGCAGCCGCGGUAAUACGGAGGGUGCAAGCGUUACUCGGAAUCACUGGGCGUAAAGGACGCGUAGGCGGGUUGGAAAGUCAGGUGUGAAAUCCUACAGCUUAACUGUAGAACUGCACUUGAAACUUCUAAUCUAGAGUAUGGGAGGGGGAGAUGGAAUUAGUGGUGUAGGGGUAAAAUCCGUAGAUAUCACUAGGAAUACCUAAAGCGAAGGCAAUCUCCUGGAACAUUACUGACGCUAAGGCGUGAAAGCGUGGGGAGCAAACAGGAUUAGAUACCCGGGUAGUC